GGCAGGGGCGGCAGCUACACAUGCAAGUCGAACGGUAGCACAGAGAGCUUGCUCUCGGGUGACGAGUGGCGGACGGGUGAGUAAUGUCUGGGAAACUGCCUGAUGGAGGGGGAUAACUACUGGAAACGGUAGCUAAUACCGCAUAACGUCGCAAGACCAAAGAGGGGGACCUUCGGGCCUCUUGCCAUCAGAUGUGCCCAGAUGGGAUUAGCUAGUAGGUGGGGUAACGGCUCACCUAGGCGACGAUCCCUAGCUGGUCUGAGAGGAUGACCAGCCACACUGGAACUGAGACACGGUCCAGACUCCUACGGGAGGCAGCAGUGGGGAAUAUUGCACAAUGGGCGCAAGCCUGAUGCAGCCAUGCCGCGUGUAUGAAGAAGGCCUUCGGGUUGUAAAGUACUUUCAGCGGGGAGGAAGGUGUUGUGGUUAAUAACCGCAGCAAUUGACGUUACCCGCAGAAGAAGCACCGGCUAACUCCGUGCCAGCAGCCGCGGUAAUACGGAGGGUGCAAGCGUUAAUCGGAAUUACUGGGCGUAAAGCGCACGCAGGCGGUCUGUCAAGUCGGAUGUGAAAUCCCCGGGCUCAACCUGGGAACUGCAUUCGAAACUGGCAGGCUGGAGUCUUGUAGAGGGGGGUAGAAUUCCAGGUGUAGCGGUGAAAUGCGUAGAGAUCUGGAGGAAUACCGGUGGCGAAGGCGGCCCCCUGGACAAAGACUGACGCUCAGGUGCGAAAGCGUGGGGAGCAAACAGGAUUAGAUACCCUGGUAGUCCACGCCGUAAACGAUGUCGAUUUGGAGGUUGUGCCCUUGAGGCGUGGCUUCCGGAGCUAACGCGUUAAAUCGACCGCCUGGGGAGUACGGCCGCAAGGUUAAAACUCAAUGAAUUGACGGGGGCCCGCACAAGCGGUGGAGCAUGUGGUUUAAUUCGAUGCACGCGGAGAACCUUACCUGGUCUUGACAUCCACAGAACUUUCCAGAGAUGCAUUGGUGGCCUUCGGGAACUGGUGAGACAGGUGCUGCAUGGCUUGUCGUCAGCUCGUGGUUGUGUAAAUGGUGAUAAGUUCCCGCACCGACGCAAUCCGUUAUCUUUGUGCCAGCGUUAGGCCGGUAACCAAGGAACUGCAUGAUAACUUGAGAGUUGGAUGACGUCAGUCUCAUGGCUACGUACCGGCUACGACCAGGGCUACACACGUGCUACAAUGGCGCAUACAAAGAGAAGCGACCUCGCGAGAGCAAGCGGACCUCAUAAAGUGCGUCGUAGUCCGGAUUGGAGUCUGCAACUCGACUCCAUGAAGUCGGAAUCGCUAGUAAUCGUAGAUCAGAAUGCUACGGUGAAUACGUUCCCGGGCCUUGUACACACCGCCCGUCACACCAUGGGAGUGGGUUGCAAAAGAAGUAGGUAGCUUAACCUUCGGGAGGGCGCUACCACUUUAUCGUUCCCGA
rnacentral:rRNA from 1 species